AAAAUCUCUGCAUGCUGCUCUCAUGAUGGAUGGAUGGAUGUCAUAAUACAUUUGUCAAAGCCACCAAAAGUGACCCUAAGAGCACAUUGGAAUCACCCUGAAAUGGCCUUUUCCAAUGAUACAGUCUUAGAAUCGAACUACUGAAAGCUUCUGAACAAUGAGAACCACAGAACUCAGAGUAAACUCUCAAGACACAGGGAGAUAGGAGAUGCUUCACAGACCAGAUGGAGGCAUCCCAGACCAGACAUACAUUUAUUCCUCAACUUCUUUGUUACUCUCAAUAGUUACGCCAAAGGAAGCACUCCAUCUCUCCAUCUCUUCUCCCAGACAGUCCUAGGAAUUGCUUGUUGGGAUAACUGGAUUCUGAUUCCAGGUCUGCCAUUCGACAAGUGCGGGGAACUUCAAGUUUCCCAGGCUCACUGGGCCCAUUUCUUGUCUGGAACUGAGGCAAGGGGCCUAUUCUUCCUCAUUCUAGAAUCCUACCUUAUUUCACUGUUGCUGAAAACCACGUUCAGAGGGAAGUUAAAUAAAUAUUUCUGAGCACUCA